rnacentral:misc_RNA from 1 species
GAUGAAGAACGUAGCGAAAUGCGAUAAGUAAUGAGAAUUGCAGAAUUCAGUGGAUCAUCGAAUCUUUGAACGCACAUUGCGCCCUGUGGUAUUCCGCAGGGCAUGCCUGUUCGAGCGUCAUUUCAACCCUCAAGCUCUGCUUGGUGUUGGGCCCUGCCCGCUGCGGCCGGCCCUAAAGACAGUGGCGGUGCCGCCUGGCCCUGAGCGUAGUACAUCUCUCGCUCCAGUGCCCGGUGGUAGCCUGCCAGAACCCCAACUCUCGUGGUUGACCUCGGAUCAGGUAGGGAUACCCGCUGAACUUAAGCAUAUCAAUAAGCGGAG